UACAGAGGGUGCGAGCGUUAAUCGGAAUUACUGGGCGUAAAGCGCGCGUAGGCGGCUUUGCAAGUCGGGUGUGAAAUCCCCAGGCUUAACCUGGGAACUGCAUUCGAGACUGCAUUGCUAGAGUAUGGGAGAGGGAAGUGGAAUUUCCGGUGUAGCGGUGAAAUGCGUAGAUAUCUGGAGGAAUACCGGUGGCGAAGGCGGCAUCCUGGACCGGCAUUGACGCUGAUGAGCGAAAGCUAGGGGAGCAAACGGG
rnacentral:rRNA from 1 species